rnacentral:misc_RNA from 1 species
GAUGAAGAACGUAGCGAAAUGCGAUAACUAAUGUGAAUUGCAGAAUUCAGUGAAUCAUCGAGUCUUUGAACGCACAUUGCGCCCCCUGGUAUUCCGGGGGGCAUGCCUGUCCGAGCGUCAUUGCUGCCCUCAAGCACGGCUUGUGUGUUGGGCUCCGUCCCCCCGGGGACGGGCCCGAAAGGCAGCGGCGGCACCGAGUCUGGUCCUCGAGCGUAUGGGGCUUUGUCACCCGCUCUGUAGGCCCGGCCGGCGCCAGCCGACAACCCAUCAUCCUUUUCAGGUUGACCUCGGAUCAGGUAGGGAUACCCGCUGAACUUAAGCAUAUCAAUAAGCGGAGGA